AUAUAAAGGCAAACCCGUUGAAAGGCGGGGGCGCAAAGCUAUGAGUCUAAGGCAGAAUGUCAAAUGACAAUGAUACGUUUUUUUGCUAAGAUAGUCAGGCUGCAA
rnacentral:ncRNA from 1 species